CCUAAUUAAGAAAUUUAUUGAAAAAAAAUAAAUAUAAAUAUUUUUUAUUAUUAUUUUUCUUUUUUUUUAAUACACUAGGUUUGUUGUAAAUACUCCACACCACACAAUACAUACGCACAAACACACAACAAGUCUCACGCCUCUUUCUUCUCCUCUCCCACCUUCACUGUAAUCUCAUCCAUCGGAGCGGCCAUUUCCGGCGAAUCUCCCACCACCACAGCACCACCGCACGCCGCCUCUUUCUUCUCCUCCCUCACCAGCCGCCGCUCAAACCCUCCCCAUUUCCGUCAGCAGCCACCCGAAGCCUGCAGCGCCGCCCCUUCCCCCUCUCUUCUCCGUUGCUGCUUCGCCGGAGGUUAUGACCGGCGAAGCUUGGCUGCUUCCAUUGCAUUGUCACUCCUUUACCCUAUUUCUUUGCACUUUAUUUUUAAUUUUCUCACGGAUCUGGCCGGAUUUGGUUAUCCGGCGUCGCUCCGGCGAACUCCAUUGUGCCGCUGCCAUUAUGUCGUUACCGCCACUAUUUUAGUGUUUUGUCUUAUUUUUGUUUAUUGUGAGUAUUACGUUGCUCCGGUGAAGCUCCAACUGUUCUUUCUUUUUCACGACUUUGGUUGAUUGCAUUUAUUUAUUUCACUGAUCUUUUCGUUUUGAUGAUUUUGAUUGAUUGCAUUUAUUUAUUUUUCUUUACGAAGCUUGCUUACUGUUAUUAAAUUGUCGAUGCAGUUAUUUUGAAAUUACUUGCUUACUGUUAUUAAAUUGUUGCUACAGUUACUUUAAAAUUACUUGUGCUUUGCUACUGUUUAGCUCAUUUUAGACUGUUUUGGAUUUUCUUCUUACUUUUAUUUCUUUAUCAUUUAUUAUAUUGAUAAUAACAAAUAAAUAUUAUACUUUGGUCAAUGAAAUUAUCUCUCCGUUUGAUAUUUCAGGUCACCCCAUUAUAAAAGAUGGACUUUAUUUUAUCAAAGUUAUUAUUUUAUAUUAAGGAUCGACUAUUGGUCGAUGAAGAAAUUCUUCAUCGAUUUUCAAGGCCUCCACAAAUAAAAAUACGGAUAUUACGUACACAAAUACGUAAUAAAAUAAAUAAAUUUGGGCGAUGACAAAAUUUUUACUACAGCGCAAAAGAUUUUAUGACUCGUAUCUUGGUAAGACGAUUUAGGAUGACCAACAAAUUGAGCAACCACUUCGUAGUCAUUACGUAUCUAAAUUUAAUCUGAGCACACCUUUUAGCAAAAAAUUAUAUUUUUAAAUACACAUAUGCACACAUACCUUUUAAAUUUAUUUUGAUGAUUAUUUAUUUGUUACUAAUAUUUUUUACGUGUGUUUGUACAGGUUUUCGAAAAUAUCUAUCGUGAAUGACAUUCAAAGAGGAGCUUGAAUUUUGUAUUGUCUUUUAUUGGCCAAAGGCAUCGAUAGACCUUCAAACUUCUUGUCAAAAUUCACUUAGACAUCCCAACUAUGACCUGUACCUAUCAGAUCCUUAAACCUCCCAAAUUUUGAUUCAAUUGAACAUUUUUUACCUACAUGACACUGCGCGUGCUGUGUAAUCUGAGAGGCGCGUGAAGAGUAAGUUUUUUAUUAAGUUACGAAUAGAAAAGUGCCAAGUGGCACUGAGGGCUCCAAUUUUUUUUUUUUAUAAAACUAAAUGAAAAAAAAAAACCUCAAACAUAUUUUUAAUAAAACCAAUUUCUUUUUAAAAAUACCUCUUCCUCCCCACCCCCAUACCCCUAUUUCAUCUUCGUCAGCAUUCUUCUUCUUCGUUUUUUUUUUUUUUUGCUAAACUUAAUUCUCCUAUCAUUUUUUCUACUUUUUAUUCUUUCUUGUUCUUACUUUUGAAUUUGAUUUAAAAAAAAAAUUGUUGUUAAUCUUAUUUUUUUCCGCUAUUAGUGUGCCAGAAAAAAUGAAAGUUUGCUACAUUUGAAUUGUUGAAUUUUCAACAUAUUAUUCAUAGCAAG
rnacentral:lncRNA from 1 species